GACCUGCAGGCCGGGCGAGGGGAGAGGGGGACCACACUGAGGCCAUGCCUGGGGUCCGCCUGGGCCCCCUGCCUUGGGGGAAGGGCAGAGUUCACAGCGGGGCGCCCCAAAGGGGAAGGUGUUACAGCCCUGUCUGGUUCCGGCCCCCCCCCCUCACCUCGCCCGUCUGCAGCCCAACUCUGAAGGCCACACAGGGCCAAGGCACCACCCCCAGCUCUAAAGGACCGUGGAGCCGGCUAAGUCAUGUCCAGAAGGGCUCAUCUCUUCCCCAAGCCCAUGGGUGGAGGAUGGGGCCCUGCUCCCAGGCCCUCAGGCUCCCAAGCUAGAAACCGUCCUGGGCCUUUGGGCCUCCCCCACCCCCACCCCGGCUGGGCCACCCCUUCUCUCCUUGGACCUGCCCCACCCCGGUCCAGAUCCUCACUCCAUCGUGCGGGGACUAUUGCAGUAGCUCUUGGGCCGUCUCCACCGUGCAGCUGAGCUCGGGCAGGGACUGGCUUACCUUUCACAGGGCCCAGCACACAGGACCCGUUUACUGCCCUCUUCCCCUACCGAGGCACCAACCAGAAAGAACAUCCGCCUAAUGAGCCCUUUUGUGACUGGAGCCUGGGGCCCAGGGAAAGGAAGAUGCUCCCAAGGCCAGGGAAUCCCUUCCUAGGGCUAAUCAUUGGUGGCAAUAGUUACGGCAAAAGCCCUUUAUGAAGCUCUCAUUUGAUCUUUACAAGCGCUAUUACUACCACCAUUUUACAGAUGAGGAAGUUGGGGCAAACAGGUGAAAUGACAUGCCUGCUCUAGAUCCAAGGCUGGCACAUCAAUAGGCAUUUGGGCCAUUUUAAUGUUAAGAGAACUGAGGCCUAGCGUAAGGAAGGGACUCCUCUGGGGUCACACAAUCUGUUGCUCCUCAGCCAACCAUCUAUAUGAAAUGACCCUCCCCAAGUCUCCAGGCCAGGACUGAGCUCUAUCUCCUCCUGGGAUUCCACAGCUCGAGAGGUCACAAAGCUGAGCCCUUCCAUGCUACAGCGGAGAAUGGGAGGCCUGUCCAAGGGCCCACAAGGCUGGAGCUUCUCCACAUCGGGUGUUUUUGUGUCUUGAGUCGUGACAUCCAAGGUCGGCCUCGCCUACAUGCACUCAAGAACCUCAGAGUUGGCAGGGCCCUAAGUAACUGUCUCGUCUCUCCCCAGCCUCUGCUGGAAGACCUUCAGUGAGGGGGAACCCUUUGUCCGGAGGGCAGUGGACGCCCUGUGGACGAGGCCUGGUUUCCCACGGUUCCACCACUGGCCCUGAGAGCUCCAGAUGAAGACAUUCCCAUGCCUCAGCUUCUCCAGCUCAGCCUUGAACAGCUGACUGGGGCAUCUGGUGAGACCUGCUCAGGCUGAUUUUACCAGCAUGCUCUGGGUGUGCUCGUGUCAUGGACCUGCUGCUAGCUCUGGCCCUCGUACACAGUCUCUCACCACCCUUGACUAUCUCGGAAACCAUCCUCCUCUGCUCCAGAGAAAUGGGAGAUGUGUUGGACCGGGGCACCCGGAGGAAAGACUUGGAGAGCCACCCAACUGAGUGUCCCCAAAACCCACUUCUUGGAUCACCCGAGGAGGACGAAAUUGGUUCCUGUCAAAGGUAUGGUGGGGCCCUCCCUCCCCCCAGACCAUGGAGGACGCCAGCUUGUGAUUGCCUUCUAGGCCUAGCCUUAAAGUAUAAUUUCCCCUCCAUCCCCAUCCUGACGGGCUAAGGGUGCUCCCUGGGGUGGCACAGAAGGCUCUCUGCCCUACGGUGAGUUCUCUGGGAAUGAACUCUGCCCUCCACUUCACCCUUGCUGAACACUCAAUGCUAGGGGAGAUCGGAGUGAGGGAUUCUAGUCAUCCCUGAAGCCAGUUCUCUGUUGGCAUCCAGUCCAGCCUGGAUCCCAAAGGAAUCUCCACCUCAGCAGAGCCAACCAGAGGCUGUCCAGCCCUCUGCUUACAGGCCCACCCAACCCCAGCCCCCUUUGGAAGUCUUUCACGCCUCAGUUUGUCUGUUUGCUACAUCCACUCCGUUGUUCCUUCUUGUCCUUUCUGGGGCCCUUCAAAGACUUUCACACAGGUGCUCCUCCAGUCUUCUUCCAAGGAUAGCGUUGGAGAGACUGAGGCCCAGGAGGAAGACAUCUCCUGAGUUCUAGAUAAGCCUUUAUUCAUCCUGGGUCCUUGCUGGAGGGCUGCUUGUGAAGGGAAGAGCCAUUUUCCGUGACCUGACCCCUAGGACUUGUGUUCCUCAUCUGUAACAUGGGAAUAAUAAUCGGCCUGCCCACCUCACAAAGGUGUUAGGAGAAUCCGAUGGAGUAACGGGAAACUGAAGCACUGGGACGCGUUUAUUACAGGGAGGGGCAAAGGGAGGAGCCUUAAAGCUCCUCUUGGCCUCUCCUCUCAUUGGGCGAGCGGGAGGAGCCCUAAGGGAGCCUUUGGGUGUCACUGCUAAGGAAGAAGCCUGAUCCCAGCCCAGCUCCAGCCCAGGCCCUUCCUUACCAGCUGAGCUGCGAUCCCUGGUGCAGGAGCAGGCUCAGCGUCGCCCCCAGCAGCAGCAGCACCACCACCUUCUUCCUGCUCAUCACCAUCUUGGCCACUUGCUGCAGCCGGGCCAUAACUGGGGGCAUGUCUGGGCAGGGAGCGAUGACACAGCAGAGGAGGGGCCGGGGCCCCUCCCUCCCCUGAGACGGGCUCUUGUUGGGCCAGGGCCCAGGGGGGCGUCUGGGGUGGGGAGAACGGGGCCAGCGUUCUCUUCCUGGUGCACCUGUAAGGGAGGGGAGAAGAUUGGCAGCAAAGCCCCCGCCUUCUCCGGGGAUCUAAGGGUGUCCGAGCAGGGCGCAUCUUUGACAUGGAUUUCUACCCCCCUCUUGGUCCAGAGCCACCGACAGUAACACCUUCUUAGGGGAUGAGGCUGGCGGGGUGGGCUGCACCGGGGCAUGCUGACCUUGCAGAGUCCCUUACAGAGAGACUAAAUCCCCCAAAGGCUCAAAAGUGCUAAAUAGGAGAGUCCAGUGGGCAAGCCUGGGGUGGGUUCUGGGACUCCAGAUUGAGGUUCCUCUGCACGGAAUCACUGUGGCUCCCGAUAGAGCCCCCAAAGCCGUCCUCCCACCCUCCCCUUCCCUGCUCUGGGCUGAAAGCAGAACCCAGGUCUAGGGGGUGGGGAGGAGGAGGAGGAGAGAUCCAAUGUCUGGCUCUAGAGGGGAUCAGUUACUGAGGCAAGCUUUUUCCUCUGAGUCUGUGAUAACUGUCUCGGGUGGAAUUACAGCGUCUAAGUGGUGGGGAUGGGAGUUGGGCACGGGGAAUUGGGAAGGUCUUCCUCCUGUCCCAGGCUCCCCUCUGGAGCCUCCUCUCUGCCCCCGUGCCAGGCCCUUCCUCUUCCUUCUCUGGGCCUCGGGCAGGUCGUGUCCAGGGCUCAGAAGGGACUUUCCUUCGUGGUGUCCAUCUGCUUGAGAGGCAGGGUGAUGUCAUGACAAGUGUGCAGGGCCUGGUUCAGUAGCCACAUGACUUGGGGUACUGUGGUGCCCCUUUCCAAGUCCCCGGGGCCUCUGGGGCCUAGUCAUGUGACAUCCCUGAGCCGCCUCCUCUCCACAGGAUUAUGGGUUAGAGUGUCCCCUGCCAACCCCCCCCCCUUCUCUCCCUGGGAUCAUCACUGGCAUCUCUGGGCCCGUCUCUCAAAGCCUAUCCUGGGGGGUGUCCAUGGAGGUACGUAAUGGUUGAGAAACUGAUCCAUGGAACCAAGAGGUGGGAUCUAGCCAAGCGGCCAACCAGAGCGCAGCGCAGUUCUGCUUUUGGAUCUCCCUGAUCACUUUGGGCAAGGGAGAGACCCCUAUCUUGCUUUUCCUCCUUGGUCGUACCAUGGGUGGCGGAGGGAGAAGCUUCCCAUCUCUGGCGAGCGUUAGCCCGCUUGCUGCCCUCCGUGCCUAGAAUGCUCUCCCUCCCGCGGAACCUCUGCCACUUCCUGCCAUUUGCCACGUUUCCCUCUCUGUCCGGCCUGCAGAACCGAGAUGAAUUGGAUCUGGUAGCACAGGACAGAGCAGGUGCUCCGGCUUUCAGCCUCCUUGUCUACACAACGCUGGCUUGCUAGGAAAGACUCAUCGGGCACUAUGGAAGUGGAUGAUGCCGUGCUAGCGGGGGCCGUGGGGGGAGCGCCUGAACUUGGCCCUGCCUUUGCUUCAGGAGCAGGAUAUUCCCAAGCUGGCAGCCUGUGUGGACUCUCCGUGUUCAGGCCGUGUCUGAUUGCCUCCCUUCCCUGGACACAGAUGGAGAGCUUGGGGGUGCUGGGAGGCCCUGGCCUCGGAAAGGGACGGAAGAGCCUAGCAGUCUAGACCAGAGAGGGAAGCUGAGGCCGAAGAGAAAGGACUUGCUGAGGUCCUGCUGGGCCCACGUGUUCACCCCAACUCCAAGUCUUGCCCUCCUUGGUGUUCCGUGCCAUGGCAAAGGGGCCGGGUCUGGCUGGCCCAUCCUCGGAGGGAGGGAGGCCACUUUGCAGUCUGCCAGCCUCAGCCCUGGCCUCCCAGACUAAUUAGAGUAUGGGCACUAAUUUUAGAACGAGGCUGCUUCACCUCCAUCUAAUGCUUGAUUUUGCAAAUUGCUUUUCUGUCUCUAGAGAACAGGCACCAAAAUGGAACGGGGACCUGGAGCUUGGGGAGACUGCGCGGCCCCUGGCCCUCUCCCCCCUUCCCUGCUGAGCCCCUUUUUUCUCCCAGAGCCCCCUGGGGAUCUAGAAAUAAGGAGAAACCGGUCAGAUGAGACCUUCCUACUGUGGGACCUGGAAAGACCUCAGACUAGAGAACACAAUGGCAGGUCAGGGAGGAGCUUGGAGACCAUCAGGUUCAUCAGUUACCAAAAGGGAAACUGAGGCCGAGAGAACUGAGCUAAAGGGGGGGGGGGCACAAGUAAAGGUGUGAAUGGGUAAAGGAGGGCAAGGCCGGCAGGGACUGCUGGGAGGGGAGAUUGAGUGGCUCCUUACGGAUUAAGGGACUGUGGGGAAAGAGCUCGCCGCUGCCCGCCCCCAGCCCCUGCCUCCCCGCUAGCUUUCCUCCAUGUUGCCAGCUCUGCUGCCAUUCAUUCCCCAGCGCUCCGCCGUUUGGCCCCCAUUCCUCCCCCCAGAACCCCCCACGCAGGCUGAGCCCUUCAUUUCUUCCCCAUCCCCGGGAUGCUGCCGCCCCCGCGCCGAGCCGCUGCAGUCGGUACUCACGGCACUGGGGCUCCUCGCCGCCACCCCACUUUCCAGGGGCUCUCUGGGGCGCUAGUCCCGCUGCUCCAUCCGGCUCUCACCCGAGGAGGGAAAGCGGGGGAUGCCCUGGCAGGCCCGGACACCCCGGCUCCGCUAGCUCCGCUCUGCCCAGCCGGCUCAGGUGGCGGCGGAGGCUUCAGUCCUCUCCUGCCCCUCUCCCCAUCCCACUCAGCAGGCGGGGCUGAGAAAAGGGGGAGGGGAGCGGGGGAGGGGCGCGAGGGGGCCGGCACACACACGCCGGCAGGGCAGCGAGCGUCCUAGGAUUUCAGAGUUGGGCUGGAGCCCCGGCCCAGGCAGACCUGAGCAGCACAGCGCAUGGGAUUUCAGAGCUGCUGCCGCUGCCCCUGCUGCGGUGUGGCACCUCCUUCGCGCAGAAAAUGCAGAAUAGCCUCCGAGGAGCUGACAGGACCCUCACACCCAGCCAGAAAUAGACACCCCUGGACCCUAGAGACGACAGGAAGGACAAGGUUAAGUGACUGGUCCAGGGUCACACAGCUAGGACGGGGCUGAGGCCACACUGGACAGAAAUGUUUCUUAAUUGCCUAAGAUGGGCCCUAUGUUGCAUAGGGGCAGCUAGAUCCAGAGGUAGGAUGUCCUGGGUUCAAAUGUGACCUCAGACGCUUCUUAGCUCUGUGGCCCCAACAGGUCAUUUCACCCCCAUUGCCUAGCCUUGCUUCUAAGCCAGAAGGGGAAAAUAGGAUGUGCUUGGAUUCUGCUGAAUUAGGGAAAGGGGAGGCUCCACCACAUCCACCCCUCUGAAAUUUUCUGUGGCUCCCUUGUUUGUGGGUCCUUCUCCAGUGGGGCAAGUCACUUGCAGUCAGGCUCGAACUCCUCCCUGCUACACAAAUGGCCCAAGUAUGGGGCAGAAUGUGUCGAAUGGGGAGGUGAGCUCAGGCAGCCUGCUAGGAGAAGUGGAAACGGAGACCCCCUUUCUGUGGAGCAAACUAGGGGAGGCUGCCUGCAGGGGUGACUUAGGAGGCGGGCCUUGAAAGAGAGGUGGAACUUAAUGGGAAGCUGAGGUGAAGGGCGCUCUCUUUUUUUAAUUUUAUUUAGUCAAUUUAGAAUAUUUUUCCAUGGUUAUAAGAUUCAUGUUCUUCCCUUCCCCCUUCCCAUAUCCCACACGCAAUUCCACUGGCUUUUACAUGUGUCAUUGGUCAAGAUCUACUUCUGUAUUAUUGAUAAUUGCACUGGGGUGAUCACUAAGAGUCUAUAUCCCCAGUCAUAUCCCCCUCAACCCAUAUGAUCAAGCAGUUGUUUUUCUUCUGCAUUUCCGCUCCCACAGUUCUUUCUCUGGAUGUGGAGAGCGUUCUUUUUCUCAUAAGUCCCUCAGGAUUGUCCUGGAUCAUUGCAUUGCUGCUAGUAGAGAAGUCAAUUACAUUCAAUUGUGCUACAAUGUAUCCGUCUCUGUAUACAAUGUUCUCCUGGUUCUGCUCCUUUCACUCUGCAUCAGUUCCUGGAGGUUGUUCCAGUUCACAUGGGAUUCCUUGAAGGGAGCUCUUCUUUUAUAUAUAUAUAUAUAUAUAUAUAUAUAUAUAUAUAUAUAUAUUUUAUAAAACCCUUACUUUCUGUCUUGGAGUCAAUACUGUGUAUUGGCGCCAAGGCAGAAGAGUGGUAAGGGCUAGGCAAUGGGGGUCAAGUGACUUGCCCAGGGUCACACAUCGGGAGCUCUUCUUAAAGGCCUUGAGAGGCAAAGCUCCUGGGAAACACCCUCUUCCUUAGGAAAGAAUGACCUGAAAAUCACAGGCAACUUGGGGGCCUUGAGGAAAGGCCCAGAGUUAGCAGAGGGCCACGUGCCACCAAGACAAUCUCUGGCUGCCCAUCAUGCCAGGAGGGAAUGCCUUCUCUCCAACUACUGACCUCCCUGGCUUCCAUGAAGUUCUUCCUGGAAUCCCAUCUUCUCCAGAAGCCUUAAUUUCAGGGCCUUCCCAUAGUGAUUUCUUAGUCUGCACAGUUUGUUUGAUUGGAAGCUCCUUGAGGGCAGAGGCUGCCUUUUGCCUCUUUUUGCACCCCCAACACUUAGCAGGUGCUUCAUCAAUGCUGACUGAUGGGGUGAUUGAUUGGAGAAAAGUCCUGGGAAAGAAGGUUGGAGAGGUAAAGUGUGUGAAGAGAGAAUUCAACUCUUUGUUUAGUUUUAAUGUAAUUGAUCAUAAGAAUUAAACUGUAGAAACCCCUCACGGAGAAAGACCGGGAGUACCAGGCCAGGCAAUAGGAAUGAAGGGGUCAGGUUUGUGCCUUAGGAAGACCACUCUGUGAAGGGGGGAUCAGAGAGGGCACAGGCUGGAGGGAGGGAGGCAGUUAUUAGCCUGCACUCCUGGCUGAAGUGCUAAAUGAAUGAGGUUCUGUUUGUAGAGGAGAAGGGCUGCCAGGACUGGGGGUGCAAAAAGACCCUGAGAUCUAUGGCUUGGGUAGAAGGGAUGGUCAGUGCAAUCGGCAACAGAAACAAGUACCCAGAUAGUCUUCAAGGGGCAAGAGAUUGGACAGUCUCCUAACUGGGAGGGACUUUAGAACACAGAACAGGGAAUGUCGGAGCACCUCCUUCCAAAGGAGGCCUCUAGAGGGGGAGAAUCUCAGCCCAAGGACAUUGCCCACACCUUCCAGGGCUCCCUCCCUGCCCCCUCUACACCUACAGACUCACAGAGAUGCAAGGGUGCAUUCACACAUACUCGAGUCAGAGACCUAGUUAUCUUGCACCUAAGGAUUACUUGAGGCAUAUGAUACAAAUCUGUCAUAUCUAAUAACUGGACAAUCCCUUUGCUCCUCCCUAAUUGGCUCUCUGUCCCCAUUCCCAGAAGUCCAAGUGGUGUCCCAGCCAGCCUUUCAUAUCAUGUCCUUUCAGCCCAGAAUCUCAAUUCAUUUCUUCCCAAGGAAGAGAGACCAUUUCCCAGGAGCUCUGCCUCUUCUUGAUGGCUCCUGAGGCUCUAGUCUGAAAAAGAGGUAACCCCUCUCCUCAAAAUGCAAGUUACAUCCCCCAAGACCUCAAGGUUCUGUGCUAGGCUCCCUUUUCUCUCUCUGCUUUCUUGGUGACCCCAUCAACUAUCACGGGUAAAAUUAUCUCACAUAGUAUUUAUAGGGGGCAACUAGGUAGUGCAGUGGCUAAAAGCCAGCCCUGGAGUCAGGAAAACUCCAAUCUGGCCUCAGACACUGCCUAGCUGUGUGACCCGGGGCAAGUCACUUAACCCCCUGCCUAGCUCUUGCCACUCUUCUGGCUUAGAACCAACACAGGGAAUUGGCUCUAAGACAGAUGAGGGUUUUACAUUUAUUCAACUUCUGUUUCACUCAGGUAUGCAACUUGGGUGUUAUUCUGGACUCCUCACCCCCCCCCCAUGUCCAGUCAGUCCAUCAUCACCUCUCUCCAGACCACCAUAGCCUCCCGAUUGCUCUCCCCUGCCUCAUGUCUUUCUCCACACAGCUCCCCAAGUCCUAGAUAGGUCUUACCAUGCUGUUUCCUACUCGGGAAUCUCCAGGGUUCUCUGUUGCCCUGAGGAUCAGUUACAAACAUGCCCGGUUCCUAUGUAAAGCCUCUCACUGCCUGGCCCCCAGUGAGCUACCUAUCUGGACUUGUUCUGUAUCGCUGUCCGGCCAGUCCGUGUUCUUUUGUUUACUGCCUUCCAUACACAAUACUACCUUCCUGAUCCUCAGCUCCCCUCCAAAUCCACAUGGGUCUCUUGCUGGACUGCCUCUGUGCUCCUCGUUUUCCCCAUCAGAAUGUAGGCUCAGCUCUUUUGGAUCCCUGCUGCAUGGCACACAGUAGGUCAACUCAUGAGGAGAAAGGCACACUCAUGAGAAGCACCUCCCCUUUGGCCCUGCCAUGACACAAGUAGGUCUGUAUCCCAAAGAAAUCCAACGGAAAGACUUAGAAGCAGCUCUUUGGGGGUAGAAGUGUAGGGAACGUCCAUCCAUUAGGAAAUGUCUGAGGAAGUCCUAUUCUGCCAUUGUGACAGAAUGCUAUUGUGCCAUAAGAAAUAAUGAGCAGGACAGUGUAAGGAUAAUUUUAGUGUUUUGACUUAAAUCUAAAUAAUUGGUUGUCAGGGAUGAUUCCCAAAUAAUAAAAUACCCAAGUCAGCUGGAAAUUAUGGAGAUUUUAAUUAAUAGAGAGAAGGAAUUAAGGAAAGAGAGAGAGAAUUAAUUUAAACUGCUCUGGCUCAGGCUGAGCCAGGCAGUAGUUAAAGGCCUUGGCCAAAGGGGCCUCCCUGAGUCUAAAGGAAAGGGAGUCAGUCUUAUCACACUACCAGGGAAGCUCCAGUCCUCCACUGAACUCAAUCUCCUGAACUGAGUUCAGAACCAUCCUGAACUGACUUUUAGCAUCCUUUUAAAGAAAUUUUCUCUUAUGUCACCUCCCCUUUUUACAUGAAUUUACAUGGUAAAUUCAGUAGACACUUUAUUCCAGGACUGCCCAUUCUUAGUUCUCACCUUCUCUGUUUAGAUUAUAUCUUCUGAGUACUUCACACUUCUUUGUUAAGCUUACCUUUUGUGAGUUACUUGACCUUUUUGUGAUUAAUUUAACCUUUACAGGUACUUAAUACCUUUUUGUAUUAGAUCUAAAAAUAGACCUAGCUUAAAGUUCUAGCUUCACUAUAAGGUAUGAGUUAAGUACCUUCAUUGUUCAAUCAGGAGUUUACAACUUUAUCUUCCCCUAAAGUAUGUCUAAGUAUGGGUGGAGUAAUAUAAAGUUCCCAAGACAUUCCUGAUUCUUGUUAGACCAAGUAUCUCCAUUGUUACAAUAAGGAAAUAGCUAAAUCAAAUCUUCUAAAGUACAGUCUGAGUAGUUUUUAAGAGUCACAAUGGAAGCCUGGGAAGACUUUUAUGAACUGAUGCCGUAAAACGAGCGGAACCAGGAGAACCAGGAUACGGGAAAUGUCAUGAAGAUCAGCCAUGAAUGACACCUCAACAAGGACCUACAACAAGGAUCCCAGGGGCCCAGUGAGAAAGGCUGGCAGAGAGAGCACUGAGAGAAGUAAAAUGUCUAUCUUGGGGGGAUUACAUGUUUUCUUUUGCCUCCUAGUAAUUGUAUGGAAAUAAGUUUUGCAUGACUUCCCAUGUAAAAUGGAUAUCACACAGCUUAUCUUCUCAAGGGGUGGGGGAAGGGCAGGGGUGAGGGAGAGAAUUUGGCACUCAAAAUGUUUUUUAAAAAUGUUUAAUGUUAUUGGGAAAUGUGUGUGUGUGUGCAUGCACAUGUAUGUGUGCCUCACUUCAGUUCUGUGAUGGAAGGGAUGAUGAGGGUUAGGCAAUAGGAGGGCCUCUGAGGCCACAAUUGAACCCAGGGCCUCCCAACUCAAGGCCUGGCACUCUCUCCACUGUGCUGCCCCAAUGGGGAAGUAGAUAAUGAAGUACAUUAAAAUAUCUUCUAGAAAUAA